AAGUUUUAAGAAUUAUAUCUUCAUUUGGUUGUGUUUGAAAUGCUUGACCAAAGAAAUUCAUUUCCUCACUCCACUUGAAAGACUUUCAAUAUCUAUCCAGCCUUUUUCUCUAAGCCUUUAUCAAAAUUGCGAACCAAUUUGAAUUUCACUUUUCUUCCUCCCAUGAUAUUGACCAGGAGACCAGAAUUUGACCAAAAAGGAAGUUGUUCUAGUCUGUUGCUUCCCAAGUCAAGCCACUCAAGGGCAGGCAUGUUCAACACAGCAGAAGGGAUUGUGGUGAAGUGGUUCAUACUCAAAUCAAGUUGGAGAAAGCUGUGAGUAUAUGAAACAUCCACCAUUGUACCUUAAAUUAAUGGAUAAUUCUGACAUCAGCUUUACCAGAUGGGAGCAACAAUUAUUGGCAACUUGCUUACUAGUUUGGGAAAUAAAGUGAUUUUUCACCAAUAUACAUUGAGAGAAGGAAGAAUAACUAAACCAGCAGUGUUGUUUUUAGAAUCUACACAAUAUUUCCAAAGAGACUUUUCUUGCAUUGAAAUCUCAUCUUGAAUCACCUCAGUAAAUCCGAAAGGUGGGAUCUCCCUGGAGCAUCAAUGUACAUAUUUUUACAUUUUCUCAACACUCAAGGCUAUAUAAAGCCUAAAAUAGCCAAAAGAGGAAAUACAGGAGUCAACCUCCUAGCUAAAUAUAUCUCUUUGCGGAUUCUAGGAAAACAUGAUGGAGUGAGAAACGUCCUAAGAUCACUCCUCUUGAAACAACAAUAAGCUGAACAUCUAAAACUGAGCAAAAAACACCCAAACUACACACCAGAUUGU